GACGAACGCUGGCGGCGUGCUUAACACAUGCAAGUCGAACGGAAGGGCCCUGCUUUUGUGGCGUUCUCGAGAGGCGAACGGGUGAGUAACACGUGAGUAACCUGCCCCUGACUGUGGGAUAACUUCAGGAAACUGGGGCUAAUAUCGGAGAGGAGCUACUGCUGCACGGUGGUGGUUGGAAAGUUUCGGCGGUUGGGGCUGGACUCGAGGCUUAUCAGCUGGUUUGUGGGGUAGUGGCUUACCAAGCGUUUGACGGGUAGCCGGCCUGGGAGGGUGGCCGGCCACAUUGGGACUGAGAGACGGCCCAGACUGCUACGGGAGGCAGCAGUGGGGAAUAUUGCGCAAUGGGGGGAAGCCUGAUGCAGCGACGCCGCGUGCGGGAUGCCGGCCUUCGGGUUGUGAACCGCUUUCGCCUGUGACGAAGCGUGAGUGACGGUAAUGGGUAAAGAAGCACCGGCUAACUACGUG
rnacentral:rRNA from 1 species